CUUUGGAUGUGGGGGUUGCUGGCUUUUCACGAAGUCAGCUCUCCUUAAAUACAUUAGUGGUUACUGUUCUCCACUUCUUGGUGUGAUAAUUAUCUACGCCUAGUGAAGAAGUAAAGUGUAGCUGCUUUCUAACCGUCCAUUUACUUGGACAACUUGAACCAUUUGACCUCAAAUCAGGUAGGACUACCCGCUGAACUUAA
rnacentral:misc_RNA from 1 species